rnacentral:lncRNA from 1 species
UAGCCAAAGUUGAAAAAAAAACAUUACUACAAAUUGAAACAGCCAAAACAACAUGGGUUUGUCGGAAUUAUUGCACAUUGUCACUGGUAUGAACCUCUUCGAGACGAUGAAAGGGACCUGCAUGCUGUUGAUAGAGUCUUAGCUUUCAAUGCGGCCCGGUAAGUGAUUCUUUUUUCGUUUACCAAUUUGCUUAAUUAUCUGAUGCAAGAAAAUGUACGAUAUAGUCAGUAUCCAAUUCUAAUUUAUGUGCAAGGACUUUCGCCACAUUAACAUCUGCUGAAUCCCCCAAUUGGUCAGCUUCUUAUUUUUGCUCGCAUAUAUAACCGGAAAUCUUUCGGCGGUUGACAAUUUGACUUUUUUCUGUUAAUAUAUUGCAUAUUAACCAUAGUAUAAUAGUAAUGUGUAAUAAUUAAGAGUAUAAAAAUAGCAUAAAUAUACUAGAAUGGAUGACUAAAUUCUUCCCAAAAGGGUGUUGGAUUCUUUAGUGUAUGGAGANUUGAACACAUAAAACUGUCACGUUUGCUGAUAAUGUCUCUAAUAGAGCUGGAUUUCACCAUUAUACGUGACACCCACGUAUUAGAUGAAGGAAGAAGGAAGUUUAGGUUCCACCAUAAACCAAUUGGCAAUAUGAGGACUAUACCAACUUACUUAUAAAAAACUCAUGCAAUGUCUCUCAUUUCAUCAAUGUGAAAAAUCAUUUUCAACAUUAGAAAAUGUUCAACAAGUGCGUGAUUUUUGUCUGUCUAAAUAGUAGUAUUACGUACUGUUAUUAACAUGCAUGGCGUAUUAACAUGUCUGUCUUAAUAGUAUUACAUACUCUUAUUAACAUGCAUGGCCUCUUGCAUAAUUAACCCCAUGUGUUAACCAGAAGUUACCAUAUAUAGAUAGAACAUAAGACAAUCUUUGAAUCAAAUGGAGGAGGAAACCAUUCGCUGAGUUGGUCACAGACUAGAAAUAUGCCCCUUACCAGCAGGGUAAGUACAUAUAUAUACAUAUAUAUAUAUACACACACACACACACACACACACAAACUCUCUUAACCAAAAUCAGCAAUCAGAGAAAAAACCCCUGGUUAAUUUCUCAGAAUCUUCUUCAAAGGCAAUAGCCUUGAAAACAACCUCCACAAGUCAAAAAAUUGACCAAAUGUUAUUAGAAUUAAAACAAGAAAAGACAGUCCAUGUCCUAAAUCACCCUGAUGAAUCCCAAUCUGAAAUAUCCCCAAUAUCCUCUGGGUCAGAAGAUGAUUCAGAUUCUAUCCGAAAAGUUGAACAAGUUUUUCAAAAUCUUGAACUUAAAAGAAUCACAAAUAGAAGAAUCAAUCCAACAUCUCUCACUAAAAAUUGGUAUCCCAGACCAACACCUCCAGAUAUUCAAUUUGAAGAAAAAAAUAUCCAAAACCAAUUCUCAGUCUCUUCUGAUAAACUCUAUGAAUGGAAUAUAGAUGGUUUGUCACUCAGAAUAUAUAUAUAUAUAUAUAUAUACUUUUCGAGAGAAUAUUAGGUAUAUAUAACAUUUUUACCGCUUGGUGUUUUGUGUUCUACGUGUUAUGUAUAUGUAAUAUUAUUGUACAACGAGUAUUUAAUUUAGGUUACACGUAGUAUAAUAUAAGAGAAAUUGAUAACAAUGAGUUUUUUAUUUAGGUUACGCAUAGUAUAAUAUAAGAGAAUUGAUAACACCACAUGACAAUACUAUGGUCACACCAAGAAAAUCAUCAUUAUUAUGCUAUAGCUGAUGUAGUACCACACAAACCAAUAAUAAUUGAUCAUAGGUCGCAGGUCAUCGUUUGUGCGUUCCAUAUUUGUCACUGAUUUUCACUUGAUACAUUUUUACAUUAUUGAUUAAACAUAAAACAUUAGUAUACAACCGUAGUUCCUAUAAGACUUUCUAAAAUAAAUUCUUCUUCUAUAAAGUAUCAAAGUGACUGAGAAACUAAACUGGAAGUUCUAUAGCAGGCUAUGAAGGAGAGCUUGAGGAUGGCAAGCAUCAUCUCUUUUACCUGUAGGGAAGCUGUCGAAGCUGUCGAAGAUGUUGAAUACAAAGGUAGGCAUAAUGAUCAUCCGUUUAAUUCUUUUACCAAAGGAAAACUACAAGCAAUAUAAAUACCGCUCUAUUGUAUCUAAAUCUCUCAUCAUCAUCAAAGAUGUAGCAAUAUAGAGGGGCGGUAUCACCACUACGAGUAAGUUCUUCUCGGAGCCGUGGCAAAGGACAAUAGAAGGGCUAGCUUUACUGUUGGAGAUUGAUAGCACAAACAUAAAUGACAUCGCCUGGAAAGGGAGAGAUCCAACUCAAUUAUAAAGGAAAAGUACAUAAUUAACAAGGCUUUCCCUUUGUAGAGAACUGGUAGUGUAUACUGUGACCCAUAAUUCACAGAACCCCACUCUAAUAAAAGGCCACGCAAACUCAGUCCUUUUCAAAUCCUAGCUAUGAAAAUGUUAGUUCCGAAGGGAAACUUAAGUGAACAAGUUCACCUUGCAGGAAAAAAGAAUGAAAAUUAAGAAAUAAAAGCUAGCUAUAUAUAUAAAAAUGUUAAUUUAACUGAGUCGCCUUUGACAUGUCCAACAGUAUACUUGAUCCCAAAGGGAUGGAAAGUACUGCCUUUGUUUCGGAACAUUCAUCAUAAUCCAGAAUAUUUUGCUGAUCCGCACAAAUUCGAUCCAUCAAGAUUUGAGGCAAUAUAUGGAAGGGUUCACAUAACCCUAAUUGCAAUUUAUCUUUAUUAAUAUACUUCCAGUUCUUCAUUGUUUAAACAUGUAAAUUUUGAAAUUCAAAUGAGCAUCUAAUUAAUUAAUUGGGUUUGAUUUAUUGCAUCACAGCUUGGAGUAAAGCCCAACACGUUCAUGCCAUUUGGAAAUGGAAUUCAUACCUGUCCAGGAAAUGAAGUUGCCAAGCUAGAAGUGCUUAUUUUUAUCCACCAUCUUGUUAACAAGUUCAGGUACGACCGUACGUAUAUUUUUCUCUUCAGUCGGGUUCAAUCCCCACUGAUCCUCCUCCUAACUUUCAUCCUAACAACUAACAAUUUAAGUUAUUUAACUCAAUAACGUUAUCAUUUAAAAAAAAAAACUCAAAUCUUGAAAUUGAUAGGGUUUAAUCUGCUACAGGUGGGAAGUGGUAAGGUCCAGUAGGGGGGUUCAUUACGCCCCAAUUCCAAUACCUCAGCAAGGACUUCCAGCCAAGUUUUGGAAAGAUUCAAUCCGGUUAAGGACCACAAGGCCAGGCUAGCAGGGAGGAAAUGAAAAGCUGAUGUUGUUUAUAAAAGACAUUAAAAUGUAGUUUCUCUCGAGAAGUUAGAUUUUGAUUUUGACUCCUUAUUAUCCAAACUUAGAGAGAUCUUCCAAUAUUAGAUAUAAAUACCACUUAUUAGACUAAGACGUAUUUAGUAGCUUUUUGUUAUUUGAAAACAUAUUUUGGCUUGGCAUUCGGCAUCAAUAUUGAGAUUCCCUUUCUUUUCUCCUUUGAACAAUAGAAAUUCUACUUUUUAGAUUAAAUACCUAGGACCCUCAACCUUUUAGUGUCAUAAUUGGUCUCAACUUUUUUAGACAUUCCAUAUAAGUGCUUAAUUUAUUGAAAAUGUUAUAUCCGUUAAGCUCCUGUUCAUCUUUUUAUAAAUGUAUAAUGUAUAUGUGGCAACAGGAAGUCACACUUUUUAACUUACAUGGACACUAAAAUAAUAAAAAUAACUUCAGAAAAUAUAUGAAGAGAAAAAUAAAAAUAAAAAUAAAAACAAAUUUACAAAUAAAAUGGAAACAAAAAAUGAAGGGUAAUAUCAAGCCUCUGCCAUGCACGUCCAAGCUCAACCUACAACCACCAAAACCCUCCAACAUUUAUAUUCCAAACUCACCAACUGGGUAUAUUAUGAUCAACAUUAAUACUAGUUGCCUCAAAAUCUAAAAUUUCAUAGAUACCACAUGGACUGCAGCCAAGACAUACUCAGCAGGGGAGCUUAACCCAGUAUUCCAGCAGGCAGGAGGCCUGCAUGCCCAACAUUCCAGCAGCCCGUGAGACCCGCAAUCUCCUUAUUUUCUCUCAAUCGCCAGCCUGGCCCGAGUCAGGUCCAAAAGCCCAAAGGACAUGAGCCAUGCGGCUCGCCUAGCACUACGCCCCAGCGCCACAAUCCGCGACCCUAGUUGCACAAGCUGCCUUUUGGCUCAAGCCAAGCCAAGCUGCCCAAGCAGUAGUCCCUGCCACGACAUCUCCUCGGCCCAUGCCGAGCCAACUCCUGGCCCCUGCCAGCCGAUGUGCCGCACCACCUCGACGGCUGCCCCGCAAUAGCACUAUCCAAGAAUAAGGCAAGAAAAAUUAAAUUUUUCUUACAUCGGUGCGGCACAAAGAAGACGAAGAAAGCAACGAAAGACGGUCCUUUGCACGGGCAAGAUGUAGAAGAUUGCUAGAGAAGGGGGAACAAAUAUCCUCUAAGCUAUCUCUCUCUUGUAGGGUAGAAUAAAUCACUCUCCAAAGUUGAUUUAAUAACCCACUUAAGAUGGACUUAAAUAGGUUUUGAGAGAAAUUUAUUUCCCUUUCCUAGAAGGAUCUAAUUUCCUAUUAAAGAGAGAAUCAACAUCAAAAUAGGAAGCAGUCUUAAGUUUCCUAAAGCAAGAAGAUCUCUACACCUGCUGCUCUUUUCUGCGAGCAACCCAACAGGUGUGGGGGCAUUUGUGGAGCCAAAAAUGUUCACUAGGCGACACGUGGACUUUUGGACAAAAGAGGACAAAAAUACCCUCGAGGCAUACCGGGAUUCCUACGCGCAAGCAGUAGGAAAUUAUCUUUCAACCAAGUUAAAAGUGCUCAAAAUAGGUAACGAUUUAAAGCCUAUUUCAUCAAAUCCUUUCUAUAAGGUAAUUCCCAAAACUUAAUUUAUUUUAUAUGUUUUAUAUUCCAUUAUUUAGCUAAUCAAUUAGCUAAAUAAUAUAAUCCUUUCAUGUUUCCUAAAAAAUUGAUUAAUUAAGGGAUUAAUUACCCAAUCAAUCCCUUAAUUAUCAAUUUGAAACAUCCACUCAAACCUAAAAAAUACUAUAUAGGGCCGGCUAUCCCAUUCAAAACCUAAUCCAUUACCUUUUUUCUACUUUUUCCCAUCAUUUCUUCCCUUUUAUUAGCCAAUCAAUACCAUAAAUACUAAAAUAUUUCCUUUCAUAUUUAAUUAGCCAAUUAAUUGGCUAAUUAAACCUAAAAUUCCCACCUAGUAGCCGGCCACAUUUCCUCCCUUUUGCUCCUUACCUUUUUGACUUUCUCCAUCUUAUUACCCAAAUAAAGCUAAUCAUUCAAUUUGAUAACCCCCCAUUUAUUUUCUAUCAUAUUUUAUUAGCCAAUAAAGUGGCUAAUUAAACCACAAAUUCACUAAAAACAUGGACAAAGUGGCCGGCCAUUUCUUUGGAAAAAUGGACCAACUUAGUCUUAUAAAUAUUCACCCAUUUCUACCAAACACUAAUUCCAACACUUUGGCAAAAAUCCCAAAAUUCUCUAAACACUCUUUCUCUCUAAAUUCUAACUUUGGCAUCGGAGGUUCUUCGGCCAAAGCCCCCCCCCCAUUCAUCGUGGGCGCGUGAGGCUCUUGGCCUUAACCUAAGGUGUUAAUUGUUUUGUAGGGGCAAAAAUUGUCCAAGAUCAAGGAGGAAGAAAUUUGCAUCCACACUAGCCAAAGUUGAAAAAAAAACAUUACUACAAAUUGAAACAGCCAAAACAACAUGGGUUUGUCGGAAUUAUUGCACAUUGUCACUGGUAUGAACCUCUUCGAGACGAUGAAAGGGACCUGCAUGCUGUUGAUAGAGUCUUAGCUUUCAAUGCGGCCCGGUAAGUGAUUCUUUUUUCGUUUACCAAUUUGCUUAAUUAUCUGAUGCAAGAAAAUGUACGAUAUAGUCAGUAUCCAAUUCUAAUUUAUGUGCAAGGACUUUCGCCACAUUAACAUCUGCUGAAUCCCCAAUUGGUCAGCUUCUUAUUUUUGCUCGCAUAUAUAACCGGAAAUCUUUCGGCGGUUGACAAUUUGACUUUUUCUGUUAAUAUAUUGCAUAUUAACCAUAGUAUAAUAGUAAUGUGUAAUAAUUAAGAGUAUAAAAAUAGCAUAAAUAUACUAGAAUGGAUGACUAAAUU